GGUCCGGUAGCCAAGUGGUAAGGCAACGGUCUGCAAAACCGUUAUUCGUGGGUUCGAUUCCCAUCCGGACCU
rfam:Microgenomates (Curtissbacteria) bacterium GW2011_GWC2_41_21 TT53_C0036, whole genome shotgun sequence.